rnacentral:rRNA from 1 species
AGCGAACGCUGGCGGUAGGCCUAACACAUGCAAGUCGAACGGCAGCACAGUAAGAGCUUGCUCUCACGGGUGUCGAGUGGCGGACGGGUGAGGAAUACAUCGGAAUCUACUUUUUCGUGGGGGCUAACGUAGGGAAACUUACGCUAAUACCGCAUACGACCUACGGGUGAAAGCAGGGGAUCUUCGGACCUUGCGCGAUUGAAUGAGCCGAUGUCGGAUUAGCUAGUUGGCGGGGUAAAGGCCCACGAAGGCGACGAUCCGUAGCUGGUCUGAGAGGAUCAACCGCCAGACUGUAAGUGAGGCUCGGUCGCGACUCCGAGGGUAGGCAGCAGUGGGGACUAUUGGAGGAUGGAGGCAAGCCUGAUCCAGCCAUACCGCGUGGAUGCAGAAGGCGUUAGGGUUGUAGAGCGCUUAUGUUGUGAGGGAAAAGCAGCACGUUAAUACCCCGCUGUUCUGACGGUACCCAGAGAAUAAGCACCGGCUAACUUCGUG